rnacentral:rRNA from 1 species
AAUAAUGCCAAAAUCAUUACCCUGGACGGGGGA